GGAUUUGUGCCUGAAGCCCAAGGGCCACUUUGAUAGAGUGAACCAUGGGGGUUAAAGUCCCCCCAAAUCUU
rnacentral:tRNA from 1 species